GGCGAGAUCGCACAAAUUGGUAGUGCGUGGAUUUGAAAAAUCCAUAAUCUUCCCGGGUCCGCGGGUUCGAAUCCCGUCCUCGCCA
rnacentral:tRNA from 1 species